rnacentral:rRNA from 1 species
GUAGGUGGCAAGCGUUGUCCGGAAUUAUUGGGCGUAAAGCGCGCGCAGGCGGUUCUUUAAGUCUGAUGUGAAAGCCCACGGCUCAACCGUGGAGGGUCAUUGGAAACUGGAGAACUUGAGUACAGAAGAGGAAAGCGGAAUUCCACGUGUAGCGGUGAAAUGCGUAGAGAUGUGGAGGAACACCAGUGGCGAAGGCGGCUUUCUGGUCUGUAACUGACGCUGAGGCGCGAGAGCGUGGGGGAGCAAACAGGAUUAGAUACCCUGGUAGUCCACGCCGUAAACGAUGAGUGCUAAGUGUUAGGGGGUUUCCGCCCCUUAGUGCUGCAGCUAACGCAUUAAGCACUCCGCCUGGGAGUACGGCCGCAAGGCUG